CUUCGACAGUGACAUCGUUCCGGAGGGUAAAUGUUUACGGAAGUUUGCCAAGUUAUUCAUAAUUUUUCAAGAGUUGCAUGUUCAAGUUCUUAAUCUACCGUAGCGAAAUUGGUCAUGUUGUGCUGUGUUAACGAAAAGCUGUUCAUCACGCUACUUUACUACAGUUGGCACUUGAGAUGACCUUCGAUUGUUGUCGCUUCGUUGGUCAAGUUAUCAACCCCGGGCUUCUACAAGGAAGCUUUUGGUACGCGUUUGACUAGAGAGGUCCCGCGCUCGCAGUAAAGCUUCACGAAUGGUAAAGCAGUUCUGUAGCAACAGAUCAGUUCUUGCUGGAAGAACCAGAAUUGAAGGAAAUGUGCGCACACGGGUUGGAUUUACGAACCUUUCACUUAAUUGGCUGAUGAUUCUUGGUAUUCAAGAUGUCGACAAGAUAGAUGUAGGCGUCAUUUCAUUCAGUUUCUAAAUUUUCCAAAGUGAGCUUUUCCCUAGAAUUCUGAUGGUUUGUAAGUUCGGUUUCUCGUUUAUUGUACUUUCGUUAACCUAUCAUUUUCUGUUUGUUUUUUUCUAAAUUUAAUAAAUAAUGUAGAUAAUGGGU